rnacentral:lncRNA from 1 species
GUAGAUGCUCACCUGGGCCUUGUCGCCCAGCAGGCCCUUGCACACGUCGAUGGCCGGGGUCUCCCGGGUGUCGCCGGUAUCCUUCUUGAAGGCGAACCCGAGCACGGCGAUCUUCUUGCCGGACACGGUGUUGAACAUGGACGACACCACGCGGUUCACGAACCGGCUCUUCUGGUAGUCGUUGAUCUUGAUCACCUGCUUCCAGUAGUUGGCCACCUCCGGCAGGCCGUUGCACUCGCAGAUGUACACCAGGUUCAGGAUGUCCUUCUGGAAGCACGACCCGCCGAACCCGACGCUGGCGUUCAGGAACUUGGGACCGAUCCUCGAGUCCUUGCCGAUGGCGUACGACACCUCCGACACGUUGGCGCCCGUGGCCUCGCACAGCGCCGACAUGGCGUUCACGGACGAGAUCCUCUGGGCCAGGAAGGC